rnacentral:rRNA from 1 species
AGUGAACGCUGGCGGUAGGCCUAACACAUGCAAGUCGAACGGCAGCACAGUAAGAGCUUGCUCUUACGGGUGGCGAGUGGCGGACGGGUGAGGAAUACAUCGGAAUCUACUUUUUCGUGGGGGAUAACGUAGGGAAACUUACGCUAAUACCGCAUACGACCUUCGGUUGAAAGCAGGGGAUCUUCGGACCUUGCGCGAUUGAAUGCGCCGAUGUCGGAUUAGAUAGUUGGCGGGGUAAAGGCCCACCCAGGCGCCGAUCCGUAGCUGGUCUGAGAGGAUGAUCAGCCACACUGGAACUGAGACACGGUCCAGACGCCUAAGGGAGGCAGCAGUGGGGAAUAGUGGACAAUGGGCGCAAGCCUGAUCCAGCCAUACCGCGUGGGUGAAGAAGGCCUUCGGGUUGUAAAGACCUUUUGUUGGGAAAGAAAAGCAGCAGGUUGAUACCCCGCUGUUCUGACGGUACCCAAAGAAUAAGCACCGGCUAACUACGUG